rnacentral:rRNA from 1 species
CCUACGGGUGGCAGCAGUGGGGAAUAUUGCACAAUGGGGGGAACCCUGAUGCAGCGACGCCGCGUGAGUGAAGAAGUCAUUCGGGAUGUAAAGCUCUAUCAGCAGGGACGAAAAUGACGGUACCUGACUAAGAAUCCCCGGCUAACUACGUGCCAGCAGCCGCCGUAAGACGGCGGGGGCAAGCGUUCUCCGGAUUUACUGGGUGUAAAGGGUGUGUAGCCGGGAGCGCAAGUCCUGAGUGAAAGCCCGGGGCCAAACCCCGGGACCGCUUUUGAAACUGGGAAGCUGGAGUGCGGGAGGGGAAGGCGGAAUUCCUGGUGUAGCGGUGAAAUGCGUAGAUAUCAGGAGGAACACCGGCGGCGAAGGCGGCCUGCUGGACCGUAACUGACGUUGAGGCUCGAAAGCGUGGGGAGCAAACAGGAUUAGAUACCCCAGUAGUC